GUACUUGCUUUGGCAACACAUAAACUAAAAAUUGGAAUGAUAGAGAAUAUUAGCAUGGCUUCUGUGUAAGGAUGACACACAAAUUCAUAAAGUAUACUUAUAUACAU